rnacentral:rRNA from 1 species
UACGUAGGGUGCAAGCGUUGUCCGGAAUUAUUGGGCGUAAAGAGCUCGUAGGCGGUUUGUCGCGUCUGCUGUGAAAACCUAAGGCUCAACCUUGGGCUUGCAGUGGGUACGGGCAGACUAGAGUGCGGUAGGGGUGACUGGAAUUCCUGGUGUAGCGGUGGAAUGCGCAGAUAUCAGGAGGAACACCGAUGGCGAAGGCAGGUCACUGGGCCGCAACUGACGCU